AUUGAACGCUGGCGGCAUGCCUUACACAUGCAAGUCGAACGGUAACGGGCCUUCGGGUGCCGACGAGUGGCGAACGGGUGAGUAAUACAUCGGAACGUGCCCGAUCGUGGGGGAUAACGAGGCGAAAGCUUUGCUAAUACCGCAUACGAUCUACGGAUGAAAGCAGGGGACCGCAAGGCCUUGCGCGGACGGAGCGGCCGAUGGCAGAUUAGGUAGUUGGUGGGAUAAAAGCUUACCAAGCCGACGAUCUGUAGCUGGUCUGAGAGGAUGAUCAGCCACACUGGAACUGAGACACGGCCCAGACUCCUACGGGAGGCAGCAGUGGGGAAUUUUGGACAAUGGGCGCAAGCCUGAUCCAGCCAUGCCGCGUGCAGGAUGAAGGCCUUCGGGUUGUAAACUGCUUUUGUACGGAACGAAAAGCCUUCUUUUAAUACAGGGGGGUCAUGACGGUACCGUAAGAAUAAGCACCGGCUAACUACGUG
rnacentral:rRNA from 1 species